rnacentral:rRNA from 1 species
UGGGGAAUAUUGGACAAUGGGCGAAAGCCUGAUCCAGCCAUGCCGCGUGUGUGAAGAAGGUCUUCGGAUUGUAAAGCACUUUAAGUUGGGAGGAAGGGCAGUUACCUAAUACGUGAUUGUUUUGACGUUACCGACAGAAUAAGCACCGGCCAACUCUGUGCCAGCAGCCGCGGUAAUACAGAGGGUGCAAGCGUUAAUCGGAAUUACUGGGCGUAAAGCGCGCGUAGGUGGUUAGUUAAGUUGGAUGUGAAAUCCCCGGGCUCAACCUGGGAACUGCAUUCAAAACUGACUGACUAGAGUAUGGUAGAGGGUGGUGGAAUUUCCUGUGUAGCGGUGAAAUGCGUAGAUAUAGGAAGGAACACCAGUGGCGAAGGCGACCACCUGGACUGAUACUGACACUGAGGUGCGAAAGCGUGGGGAGCAAACAGGAUU